rnacentral:lncRNA from 1 species
GGAAUUUGCUAUUUGUUUACGGAAGUCAUUGGUGCUACUGCCUUACCUGCUACCCACUGCCCUACGCAACCACUUUCUCAUUCUUCAAAAGUUUCACUGACAUGAACCUCACUUGUGGGUGCCAGGUUAUGACCACAUGCAUAGUUUCAUCUUCAUCUUAUGCAACAUUUGGGGUAAAAGGAAGGUUAUGUGGUAACCAGUUUAUGACUUGAACUAUAGGCAAAGAUUGACCAGACCAAGCCCUGAGACACAGUGUUGAGAGCCAAGACAUAAAGUUGUGAAGAUUCAGACCCAGAGCCCAGCAGGGCACAGGCUGGAGGGGUGAUGUGAGUGAUCAGUAACACCAUGAAGACUCUGCUCCUGGGUCAGGAAUGCUUUUUUGUCCCUGUUUUUGGAUUUUCCACCAUGAUCAGCCAAUGCAGAAAGAAAUCUAAAGGUGAAGGAAAGGCAGCGUUCAGCACUGAGCAAGUCCAUGUUGGAGAAAGAAGCAGACUUUGUGCCAUCUUUGCUGGAGCUCUCACAAGACAUUUCCGUGAAGCAAUUAUAGAGCAAG